UACGGAGGGUCCAAGCGUUAAUCGGAAUUACUGGGCGUAAAGCGCGCGUAGGUGGCUUGUUAAGUCAGAUGUGAAAGCCCCGGGCUUAACCUGGGAACUGCAUUUGAUACUGGCAAGCUAGAGUAUAGUAGAGGCAAGUGGAAUUUCCUGUGUAGCGGUGAAAUGCGUAGAUAUAGGAAGGAACACCAGUGGCGAAGGCGGCUUGCUGGACUAAUACUGACACUGAGGUGCGAAAGCGUGGGGAGCAAACAGGAUUAGAUACCCGGGUAGUCC
rnacentral:rRNA from 1 species